UCAAGGAAAGAGAGGGAGUGCCAAGCUGUUACUGUUUACCCUCUGGCCCAGAUCUUUCUUCAGAAGAAACCUGAGUGGUCUCACAGACUUCCUCGGUUGUGCUGUUUUACUGAGGUUGGGUGGAGUCAACACAUCAUGGAUAAAGAAGUCCCUAAAGGCAGUCCCAGGGAGCCCGCACUGAACAUCAAGAAGUCAGACAAAUCCUUCAAACGCAAGAAGCCCACCGAAAAUGUGCUGAUCUUUUUAAUCAACAGACAACUGGGCAGGCACAGAAGUGACAUCGACCUGUCAAGAUGGGUGUGGAUGCUGUCAUAAAGCAACUCUAGGGUGGACAUGGCCUUGGACAAAAAGUCAUGUGGCUUACGUGCUGAAGCCUGCCCAUAUUUUUGAGAAAUUAAAUAUAAUUAGAACAAUAAACUCCUCCCAUGUUUGAGUCAUUAAAACAGAGUCUGUCAUUUCACUCCUUGAGGUUGGAUGUGUGUUUGCUGACAGGGUGUUCUUGGGUUACACUGGAAGGGGCUUCUGUUCAUCCUAACACGCUGUGCAGGGGUGCUUAGACCCAGGGGAGAGGGUGAGAUCAUGCUGCACACCAGAUCUCUCCCACCAUCAAUCUGAAAAACACUGCAAAGUCAAAGUGAUGUAGUACUUGGCAUUUAAGGACCAAAGACUCUUCUCCCUAGCCAUUUUGAAGAGACUGCCCUGGUGUUCCCCUCUAAAACCCAAUGCUUGUCCUAGUGAAAAGACAUUGUUUAAGAGCAGACCAACAGUUGGCCUGGGGGUUUGGGAUAUGUUUUAAUACUGCCAAUGUCAUAUCCACAGAGCCUUCCAGAGGCAACCGCUCUGCCCUUUGUCCCCAGGAAAGUAUAGAAUGCUCUGGUCACUUUUUUGUGUCAUGUCAAACAAACCUGCUCAGGCCACAGCCAAAGAUAAUUCAUUUGACUGAAAUGAAGCCACCUGGUAGGACAACAACACACAUGAGAUGGCUCCCAUUGAAGAAGCUCUGUCCCC
rnacentral:lncRNA from 1 species